rnacentral:lncRNA from 1 species
CCUCUCACAAAAUCUUUCGAAUUGUUAUCCUACUUCCAUCUUCGAAUAAACUCGACUACUCAUACAAUACUCACUUCCAACGAUUCAACAAACAUACCAAUCCUAUUAUGAUAUUUCUCAAUUCCAUUCUUAUUUACUUUAAAACCUACUUCUCUUCAUCGAUUAAUUAACACCAACGGUUCACUAAUCUUCACAUCUCUUUCUCUAAGCUUCUCAAAUCUCUUCCGAAAAUCACUCCACACACUAGACUUAGAACUCCAAAUUGUUCAACC